CCUGCUAUGCGACUAGCAGUAGCCUAGGGGGACAUGCGUCACUGGCAACGGUGGGGUAUGAAGCUCUCCCGACAAUGUUUCCCCGCAAGGGUGUCACCCAGUUGUGAGACUGAUGGCAGAGACUCCGAGCAGCAAUGGGGCCGAGGAG
rnacentral:ncRNA from 1 species